GAGGGUCUAGCUCAGUGGCAGAGUGCGUGCCUUGCACACACAAAGUUCUGGGUUCAAUCCCCACAACCUCCA
rnacentral:tRNA from 1 species